rnacentral:rRNA from 1 species
AUGAGCAAAAUCUCAACUUUAUUAGAAGAGACGCAUUUAUUAGAUAAAAAGCCAAUGCAUGCUUUUACAGUAUGAAAAUUGGUGAUUUAUAAUAACUUAGCAAAUCGCAAAGUGAAAACAGGCGAUAAAUCAUUCAAGUUUCUGACCUAUCAGCUUUCGACGGUAUGGUAUUGGCUUACCGCGGCAGUGACGGUUAACGGGGGAUUAGGGUUCGAUUCCGGAGAGGGAGCCUGAGAAACGGCUACCACGUCUAAGGAAGGCAGCAGGCGCGCAAAUUACCCAAUUCUAACAGUUUGAGAGAGGUAGUAACAAGAAAUAACAAUACAAGGCAGUUAAAAUGCUUUGUAAUUGGAAUGAUAGAAAUUUAAACCCUUUUUAAAGUAUCAAUUGGAGGGCAAGUCUGGUGCCAGCAGCCGCGGUAAUUCCAGCUCCAAUAGCGUAUAUUAAAAUUGUUGCAGUUAAAAAGCUCGUAGUUGAAGUUCUGCUAAAAGUAACCGGUCUGCUUUGAAUAAAAGUGGUAUCUUGGUAUGUAUUUAGCAAUGAUGUCCUUUGAAGUGUUUUUUACUUUAUUGUAAUAAAGCAUAUUCAGGACUUUUACUUUGAGAAAAUUAGAGUGUUUCUAGCAGGCCAACGCUUUGAAUACUGCAGCAU